CGUCGUUGUCGUCCCUCAAACCCUCCGCCGUCUCGCUCUCGGAUUUCCGUCGGUCGGCUGUUCGACCUCCCCCGCUCCCGAAUCCCCCGGCGCCCCCUCGAUCCUUUCCUGGUGGCCUCCGAUCUCGAAGUUCUCGCAUCGACUUCAAGAAGAGCCUCGGCCGCAUCCCUACAGCGACGCCGUUUCCUGUCCUCGUUGCAGUUCUCGCUGCCGUCUUCAAGAAGGGCCUCGGCCGCAUUCCUGUAGCUCCGACAAAUCUUGCGGCGCAUCUUCUUCACGCCUCCCUGAAGUCUUGCGAGAACGAUUCUUUCUUUCGUUCGGGAAGAGUUGUUGUUUUCUGUAUCAAUUUGUUACCCUUCUGAUGAUGUAUUCUCGAUCUGGAACUGAGAAAACAAUGUUUGUGUAUUACAAAUUUAAGAGUGCUAAGGAUUUUUGUUCUCUUCCUGUUGAUGGUCCUUCCAUCUCUGUUGCCAAUUUGAAAAUGAGAAUCUUCCAUUCCAAGCGUUAUGGAAAGGGUAGGGAUUUCGAUCUCACUGUCAUGAAUGCGCAGACGAACGAAGGUUGGCCUUUUCUACAACACUCACUAUCUCGGAAGAUUAAGCGUUGCAAUUAUUGAUGAUCUGUGGACAGGACUAAUUUCUUGCUCAAUUCCUUUAUGGUUGUGUGAUUUGCUCUGGUUAAUCCGUGUUUAGGGUAACUCAAUUUUGUCGUCCGCAACUACUUUGCUGGAAGUUUUACUGUUGCAGCUACUUGUUGUCUAUGCUUGCUGUCUGUUUUAUUUUUUCCAGAGUAAUGUAUGAUUUGCUACAUUUAAUUCUUGGCAAGGAAAUCUAAUUAUCUUUUUGAUAUGGCUUAUUUAUUUCAGAAUAUGUUGAUGAUGCAGUCAUGAUACCAAAAGACACAUCAGUCUUGAUUCGCCGAAUUCCAUGGCCAAAGGGCAAGAGUAUUGUUGUCGGAGAG
rnacentral:lncRNA from 1 species